GAUGAACGCUGGCGGCGUGCCUAAUACAUGCAAGUCGAGCGAACAGACGAGGAGCUUGCUCCUCUGACGUUAGCGGCGGACGGAUGAGUAACACGUGGAUAACCUACCUAUAAGACUGGGAUAACUUCGGGAAACCGGAGCUAAUACCGGAUAAUAUAUUGAACCGCAUGGUUCAAUAGUGAAAGACGGUUUUGCUGUCACUUAUAGAUGGAUCCGCGCCGCAUUAGCUAGUUGGUAAGGUAACGGCUUACCAAGGCAACGAUGCGUAGCCGACCUGAGAGGGUGAUCGGCCACACUGGAACUGAGACACGGCCCAGACUCCUACGGGAGGCAGCAGUAGGGAAUCUUCCGCAAUGGGCGAAAGCUUGACGGAGCAACGCCGCGUGAGUGAUGAAGGUCUUCGGAUCGUAAAACUCUGUUAUUAGGGAAGAACAAAUGUGUAAGUAACUAUGCACGUCUUGACGGUACCUAAUCAGAAAGCCACGGCUAACUACGUG
rnacentral:rRNA from 1 species